UACGUAGGUGGCAAGCGUUGUCCGGAAUUACUGGGUGUAAAGGGCGUGUAGGCGGGAAGGCAAGUCAGAUGUGAAAGCCCAUGGCUUAACUGUGGAACUGCAUCUGAAACUGUUUUUCUUGAGUACUGGAGAGGAAAGUGGAAUUCCUAGUGUAGCGGUGAAAUGCGUAGAGAUUAGGAGGAACACCAGUGGCGAAGGCGGCUUUCUGGACAGUAACUGACGCUGAGGCGCGAAAGCGUGGGGAGCAAACAGGAUUAGAUACCCGGGUAGU
rnacentral:rRNA from 1 species